rnacentral:rRNA from 1 species
CCUACGGGUGGCAGCAGUGGGGAAUAUUGGGCAAUGGAGGCAACUCUGACCCAGCAACGCCGCGUGAAUGAUGAAGGUCUUCGGAUUGUAAAGUUCUGUGAUGGGGGAUGAACACAAUGACGGUACCCCAAUAGCAAGCCACGGCUAACUACGUGACAGCAGCCGCGGUAAUACGUAGGUGGCAAGCGUUAUCCGGAUUUAUUGGGUUGAAAGGGUGCGUAGGUGGACGCUUAAGUCCGCGGUAAAAUUGCGGGGCUCAACCUCGUCGAGCCGUUGAAACUGGGUGCCCUGAGUGGGCGAGGAGUACGCGGAAUGUGGGGUGUAGCGGUGAAAUGCAGAGAUAUCACGCAGAACUCCGAGUGCGAAGGCAGCGUACCGGCGCCCAACUGACGCUGAAGCACGAAGGCGUGGGUAUCGAACAGGAUUAGAUACCCUAGUAGUC